rnacentral:tRNA from 2 species
GUUCGCCUAGCUCAUCUGGAUAGAGCAACAGACUUCUAAUCUGUAGGUGGUGGGUUCGAUCCCCACGGCGAACA